AGAAAGCAAGAGUCGUACGAGAUCUGAUAAAAAUAAAGAACUUGAUGCUAUCACUUGGAACCCCAAAACUAACCUUAGCGACCAAAGCACGUACACGUUUACACUGGAAAUUUCAAAGAAUUGAAUCAACUCCAAAAAAGUUAUGCCGUCAUCGUUUUUGGUGACCACUUUUGCAGUCGAUUCAUUUGGAAAUUUACAGUGAGGUUAUAAUAACAAUUAAGCAACAAUAUAUAUAGCAUUUGUAUAUAGACAAAGAGUAACAGAUGAUGAACUGCAUCGCAAUACAAUUAAGUAACAGUAUAUAUAGCAUUUGUAUAUUAGGGCAAGAGUGACAGACGUUGGACUGGUAGUACAAUUAAAACCGGUUUCAGACGAGCAAGUUUUCUAUGACAAGUUUUUAUGUGACAAGUUUUAUUUGCCAAGUGCACGUGUAUAUAUGCAACAAAUUUUAGAUGUCAAAUUUUCAUAUGACAAGUUUUAUUUACUGGUGCGAACGUGUCAACAAGUUUACUUUGACAAUUUAUUAGUGGCCAGCUGGCCAAUCACAUCAAAUGCUCGGAUUACUUUGACAAGUUUUCUUUGUUGACCCAUAGAGACG